GAUCCUGGCUCAGAACGAACGCUGGCGGCAGGCCUAACACAUGCAAGUCGAGCGCGCCCUUCGGGGUGAGCGGCGGACGGGUUAGUAACGCGUGGGAACGUACCCUUUGGUAGGGAAUAGCCACUGGAAACGGUGAGUAAUACCCUAUGAGCCCUUCGGGGGAAAGAUUUAUCGCCAAAGGAUCGGCCCGCGUUAGAUUAGGUAGUUGGUGGGGUAAUGGCCUACCAAGCCUACGAUCUAUAGCUGGUUUUAGAGGAUGAUCAGCAACACUGGGACUGAGACACGGCCCAGACUCCUACGGGAGGCAGCAGUGGGGAAUCUUGGACAAUGGGGGCAACCCUGAAUCCAGCCAUGCCGCGUGAGUGAAGAAGGCCUUAGGGUCGUAAAGCUCUUUCGCCUGUGAAGAUAAUGACGGUAGCAGGUAAAGAAACCCCGGCUAACUCCGUGCCAGCAGCGGC
rnacentral:rRNA from 1 species